GAAAUAUAAGUAAUUAAGCUGCUAACUUAAUUUAUAGUGAUUGAAUUCAUUAAUAUUUCU
rnacentral:tRNA from 1 species